CCUACGGGAGGCAGCAGUGAGGAAUAUUGGUCAAUGGACGAGAGUCUGAACCAGCCAAGUAGCGUGAAGGAUGACUGCCCUAUGGGUUGUAAACUUCUUUUAUAUGGGAAUAAAAUGUUCCACGUGUGGGAUUUUGUAUGUACCAUAUGAAUAAGGAUCGGCUAACUCCGUGCCAGCAGCCGCGGUAAUACGGAGGAUCCGAGCGUUAUCCGGAUUUAUUGGGGUUAAAGGGAGCGUAGGUGGAUUGUUAAGUCAGUUGUGAAAGUUUGCGGCUCAACCGUAAAAUUGCAGUUGAAACUGGCAGUCUUGAGUACAGUAGAGGUGGGCGGAAUUCGUGGUGUAGCGGUGAAAUGCUUAGAUAUCACGAAGAACUACGAUUGCGAAGGCAGUUCACUGGACUGCAACUGACACUGAGGCUCGAAAGUGUGGGUAUCAAACAGGAUUAGAUACCCGAGUAGUC
rnacentral:rRNA from 1 species